GACGAACGCUGGCGGCGUGCCUAAUACAUGCCAGUUGAGCGCUGAAGGUUGGUACUUGUACCAACUGGAUGAGCAGCGAACGGGUGAGUAACGCGUGGGGAAUCUGCCUUUGAGCGGGGGACAACAUUUGGAAACGAAUGCUAAUACCGCAUAAAAACUUUAAACACAAGUUUUAAGUUUGAAAGAUGCAAUUGCAUCACUCAAAGAUGAUCCCGCGUUGUAUUAGCUAGUUGGUGAGGUAAAGGCUCACCAAGGCGAUGAUACAUAGCCGACCUGAGAGGGUGAUCGGCCACAUUGGGACUGAGACACGGCCCAAACUCCUACGGGAGGCAGCAGUAGGGAAUCUUCGUCAAUGGACGAAAGUCUGACCGAGCAACGCCGCGUGAGUGAAGAAGGGUUUCGGAUCGUAAAACUCUGUUGGUAGAGAAGAACGUUGGUGAGAGUGGAAAGCUCAUCAAGUGACGGUAACUACCCAGAAAGGGACGGCUAACUACGUG
rnacentral:rRNA from 1 species